AUGAACGCUAGCGGCAGGCUUAACACAUGCAAGUCGAGGGGCAUCGGGAGUAGCAAUACUUGCCGGCGACCGGCGCAAGGGUGCGUAACGCGUGAGCAACAUGCCCGUAUCAGGGGGAUAAUCCAUGGAAACGUGGUCUAAUACCCCAUAGUAAUUAUGUAAGGCAUCUUAUAUAAUUUAAAGCUUUGGUGGAUACGGAUUGGCUCGCGUGACAUCAGCUGGAUGGUAAGGUAACGGCUUACCAUGGCUACGAUGUCUAGGGGUUCUGAGAGGAAGGUCCCCCACACUGGAACUGAGACACGGUCCAGACUCCUACGGGAGGCAGCAGUGAGGAAUAUUGGACAAUGGAUGGAAAUCUGAUCCAGCCAUGCCGCGUGCAGGAAGAACCGGCCCUAUGGGUUGUAAACUGCUUUUGUAUGGGAGCAAUAAGGGCUACGUGUAGUCCGAUGAGAGUACCAUACGAAUAAGCACCGGCUAACUCCGUGCCAGCAGCAGC
rnacentral:rRNA from 1 species